CUAGACCUAAGGUUUGAGGUUCUGGGUUUUCCAGUGGACAGAGAUGUGCUGUUUGGUUUGACAGUAUGCAGAGACACCAGAUUUUCAAGUGUGACAAAUUUCUCUAGACAAAACCCAUCACUAGUUGGGAUGGACUUUGCCUGGCUUGGGCUUCAGGGCAGUGCACCUUCCCCAGUGGAAGCAGGGAACAUUUCUCUGGCCAGCUGUGAUUAUUUUGGAAGGUGUUUUGGGGUGAGAUCCCCUGACAGCCUGUGAGUGGAGGUUUGGGGCUCGGGUGGAGGGGCUGUGAUGCUGUGUCUGGGAAGCCCUGUUGCCAUGGAGAAGCCGUGGGAAUUGUCUGCCUGGCUCUCCUGACUUUUUUCCUAGCACGAAGCAAAGGCAUCUCUCCAGCUGUAAUGAGCUUCCUAGCUGCCUCCUCUUCUGGGGUAACCCAGACCCCUAAAUGCCUGGGGUAAAUCCAAAGGCAGGGAGGAAACCCUAAAGGAAGGCAGGGAAGAAGCAGAGAGCAAGAGGAGAAUCUGCAGGGGUGGGCGAGGGCUCCCGGGAUGCUGUGGAGUGAUGGAGCUGGGUGAUUCUCCAGGGCACACGGACCAACACGGGAAAUUCCCAGUGGAUCUAUGGAAAUCUUUCCCUGUGAGAGCAGUGCAGCCCUGGGACGUGGACCAGAGCAGUUUACAUCUCCAUCCUUGGAGGUGUUCAAAACCCACCAGGCCAAGCCCUGACCAGUCUUCAAAGUGCCCUGCUGUGGGCUGGAGCUGCCCAGCCUCCAAGAGGGAGACCUUGCUGGGGAACAGGCAAGGGAGAGUUUGAGGGAGCUCCAAGAGGCACAGAUUUUACUUUGGAGUCUAUGGAGAGAGAGGACUGAAGCUUUUCCCCAACUUUUGGUCUCUUCAUGCAGGGUCUCUGAAGGACAGUGAAACAUGAGCUUAUGCUACAGCCCUUCCUCAGGUGACACUGGGCACCAGAAGGUUUCUGGGCACCCAUCUCCCCCUCAUGGCUCCGUGCCUCCAGUCACUCUGGGAACGGCGGUGCUGCCUGCUCUGGGACAAUGGUGGGAAGCAGUGACCGGCUCAGGGACCAGCCGUGUGUUCGGAUCAAAGCCAGCCGUGUGUUCGUGUCUAUCCUUCAGAGCUGUCCUGUCCAAAACCCGAUAGCCCCACCUUCAUGGCCGUGUCCACCCCAUGAGCAGAGGGAUGCGGCUGCACUCAUACACCGCCCUGCUGUGGAAAAUAAACCGUG